UUAAAUGGACCCCAAUCGAAGAAGAAGCAUUAGCCAAGGCUUUCCUUGGCACUUCCGACAACCCGGUAAAAGGUAACAAUCAACCGGGUGACGGGUUUUGGUCCAAAGUAUUGACCAAGUUUCUCGCCAUGAUGGACCAAGGCCCGUAUAGAGAUAUCGACUCGGUUUCCUCGAAGUGGCGAAAAUUGAACUCGGCCAUUAAUCGGUUUUGCGAGGAGUAUAACAAAUUAUAUACAAGUGACCGUCGUAGCGGGUGGAACGACGAGGAUGUGUUCAAAAUGGCAUUGCAAAAGUAUAAG
rnacentral:lncRNA from 1 species